GAUGAAGAACGUAGUGAAAUGCGAUAAGUAGUGUGAAUUGCAGAAUUCAGUGAAUCAUCGAAUCUUUGAACGCACAUUGCGCCCGCUAGUAUUCUGGCGGGCAUGCCUGUCCGAGCGUCAUUUCAACCCUCAAGCCCCCGGGCUUGGUGUUGGGGAUCGGCGAGCCUCCGCGCCCGCCGUCCCCUAAAUCUAGUGGCGGUCUCGCUGUAGCUUCCUCUGCGUAGUAGCACACCUCGCACUGGGAAACAGCGCGGCCACGCCGUUAAACCCCCAACUUCUGAACGUUUGACCUCGGAUCAGGUAGGAAUACCCGCUGAACUUAAGCAUAUCAAUAAGCGGAGGA
rnacentral:misc_RNA from 1 species